UCCCCAGUAGCUCAGUUGGUUAGAGCGCACGACUGUUAAUCGUGAUGUCGUAGGUUCGAGUCCUACCUGGGGAG
rnacentral:tRNA from 1 species